GAUGAACGCUAGCGGCAGGCUUAAUACAUGCAAGUCGAGGGGUAACAUGGGGUAGCAAUACUCUGAUGACGACCGGCAAACGGGUGCGGAACACGUACGCAACUUUCCCAAAACUGGUGAAUAGCCCUCCGAAAGGAGGAUUAAUACACCGUAACAUAACGAGGUGGCAUCAUCUUGUUAUUAUAGCUCCGGUCGGUUUUGGAUGGGCGUGCGCCUGAUUAGGUAGUUGGCGGGGUAACGGCCCACCAAGGCUUCGAUCGGUAGCCGGCCUGAGAGGGCGGACGGCCACACUGGAACUGAGACACGGUCCAGACUCCUACGGGAGGCAGCAGUGGGGAAUUUUUCGCAAUGGGCGCAAGCCUGACGAAGCAACGCCGCGUGGAGGAUGAAGGUCUUCGGAUUGUAAACUCCUGUCGACCGGGACGAAUGCACCCGACCUAAUACGUCGGAGUGUUGACGGUACCGGUGGAGGAGCCACGGCUAACUCUGUG
rnacentral:rRNA from 1 species